UGUGUAGGGGUAAAAUCCGUAGAGAUAACUAGGAAUACCAAAAGCGAAGGCAAUCUUCUGGAACACUACUGACGCUGAGGCGCGAAAGCGUGGGGAGCAAACAGGAUUAGAUACCCUGGUAGUCCACGCAGUAAACGAUGAAUGUUAGUCGUUGGGUAGCUAGUCUAUUCAGUGAUGCAGUUAACACAUUAAACAUUCCGCCUGGGGAGUACGGUCGCAAGAUUAAAACUCAAAGGAAUAGACGGGGACCCGCACAAGUGGUGGAGCAUGUGGUUUAAUUCGAAGAUACGCGAAGAACCUUACCUAGCCUUGACAUAUCAGAGAACACACCAGAGAUGGAGUGGUGCCUUCGGGAGCUCUAUUACAGGUGCUGCACGGCUGUCGUCAGCUCGUGUCGUGAGAUGUUGGGUUAAGUCCCGCAACGAGCGCAACCCUCGUCACUAGUUACUAACGGUUCGGCCGAGGACUCUAGUGAGACUGCCUUCGUAAGGAGGAGGAAGGUGAGGACGACGUCAAGUCAUCAUGGCCCUUACGGCUAGGGCAACACACGUGCUACAAUGGUUAGGACAAUGAGAAGCAAUAUCGCGAGGUGGAGCAAAUCUAUAAACCUAAUCUCAGUUCGGAUUGUAGUCUGCAACUCGACUACAUGAAGCUGGAAUCACUAGUAAUCGUAGAUCAGCUAUGCUACGGUGAAUACGUUCCCGGGUCUUGUACUCACCGCCCGUCACACCAUGGGAGUUGAUUUCACCCGAAGCGGGGAAGCUAAACUGGCUACCCUCCACGGUGGAAUUAGCGAC
rnacentral:rRNA from 1 species